rnacentral:rRNA from 1 species
GACGAACGCUGGCGGCGUGCUUAACACAUGCAAGUCGAACGGAAAGGCCCUGCUUUUGUGGGGUGCUCGAGUGGCGAACGGGUGAGUAACACGUGAGUAACCUGCCCUUGACUUUGGGAUAACUUCAGGAAACUGGGGCUAAUACCGGAUAGGAGCUCCUGCUGCAUGGUGGGGGUUGGAAAGUUUCGGCGGUUGGGGAUGGACUCGCGGCUUAUCAGCUUGUUGGUGGGGUAGUGGCUUACCAAGGCUUUGACGGGUAGCCGGCCUGGGAGGGUGACCGGCCACAUUGGGACUGAGAUACGGCCCAGAGUCCUACGGGAGGCAGCAGUGGGGAAUAUUGCACAAUGGGCGGAAGCCGGAGGCAGCAACGCCGCGUGCGGGAUGACGGCCUUCGGGUUGUAAACCGCUUUCGCCGGUGACGAAGCGUGAGUGACGGUAAUGGGUAAAGAAGCACCGGCUAACUACGUG